rnacentral:rRNA from 1 species
AUUGAACGCUGGCGGCAGGCCUAACACAUGCAAGUCGAACGCGUGGCGGACGGGUGAGUAAUGUCUGGGAAACUGCCUGAUGGAGGGGUAUAACUACUGGAAACGGUAGCUAAUACCGCAUACCAUCGGAUGUGCCCAGUUGGGAUUAGCUAGUAGGUGGGGUAAAGGCUCACCUAGGGGACGAUCCCUAACUGGUCUGAGAGGAUGACCAGCAACACUGUAACUGAGACGCGGUACAGGCUCAUACGGGAGGGAGCAGUGGGGAAUUGUGCACAAUGGGCGCAAGCCUGAUGCAGCCAUGCCGCGUGGAUGAAGAAGGUCUUCGGGUUGUAAAGUACUUUCAGCGGGGAGGCGUUACCCGCAUAAGAAGCACCGGCUAACUACGUGCCAGCAGCCGCGGUAAUAC